GGUAACUUGGCUUUUAUUUUUAUUAUUUCCUUUUCUCCGAAGUAAAAAUAAGAAAAGCGGGGAAAAAACAAAAAAAAAAAAGGAAAAUUCCUUCUCCUCCUUUCUCGCCGACCGUAGACUGGAGAUUCUUUCCGGUUUCGAUUGCUUUGCGUUCAAAUUUCUCCACGCUUGUACGUCCAGUUCUUGGGUUUGCUCGAUUCUUCCAAUUUUCUCUUUUCUCGCUUUCUCAG
rnacentral:misc_RNA from 1 species